UACGUAGGUGGCAAACGUUAUCCGGAAUUACUGGGUGUAAAGCGUUCGUAGGCGUUUUGGUAGGUCUUGGAUUAAAUGCCGAAGCUCAACUUCGGAAAGGUUUAAGAAACCCCCAAAAUAGAAGGGUAUCGAGGUAAGUGGAAUUCCUGGUGUAGCAGUGAAAUGCGUUGAUAUCAGGAGGAACACCAAUGGCGAAGGCAGCUUACUAGGUACUACUUGACGCUGAGGAACGAAAGCGUGGGUAGCAAACGGG
rnacentral:rRNA from 1 species